rnacentral:rRNA from 1 species
GAUGAACGCUGGCGGCGUGCCUAAUACAUGCAAGUCGAGCGAACAGACGAGGAGCUUGCUCCUCUGACGUUAGCGGCGGACGGGUGAGUAACACGUGGAUAACCUACCUAUAAGACUGGGAUAACUUCGGGAAACCGGAGCUAAUACCGGAUAACAUGUUGAACCGCAUGGUUCAACAGUGAAAGACGGUCUUGCUGUCACUUAUAGAUGGAUCCGCGCCGCAUUAGCUAGUUGGUAAGGUAACGGCUUACCAAGGCAACGAUGCGUAGCCGACCUGAGAGGGUGAGAGGCAACAGUGGAAAUGCGCCACGAAGGGGACAACGACGGAGGGCACAAGUAGGGGUGCUUCAAGAAUGUGUGAAAGUAUUACAAAGCUAUGUCACGUGAAUAAAAAAGGUAUACGUAUCUUAACACGUUGUUAUGAGAGAAAAACAAAACUCUAAGUAAAACUGCGCGCCUGCAGGGGAGCUAAUCAGAAGACCGCGGCUAAUUACAUA